AAUAAUGUGAUGAGCAACUUAUUUAAGCCAAAACAGUUAUCCCUGUCAUAAGAACAAUUGAUGAUGCAAAUAUCUGACAAAAUA